UUAAAUUGAAGAGUUUGAUCAUGGCUCAGAUUGAACGCUGGCGGCAGGCCUAACACAUGCAAGUCGAACGGUAACAGGAAGCAGCUUGCUGCUUUGCUGACGAGUGGCGGACGGGUGAGUAAUGUCUGGGAAACUGCCUGAUGGAGGGGGAUAACUACUGGAAACGGUGGCUAAUACCGCAUAACGUCGCAAGACCAAAGAGGGGGACCUUCGGGCCUCUUGCCAUCAGAUGUGCCCAGAUGGGAUUAGCUUGUUGGUGAGGUAACGGCUCACCAAGGCGA
rnacentral:rRNA from 1 species